GAGUGUAUAGCUCAAGUGGUAGAGCGCAUGCUUAGCAUGCAUGAGGUCCUGGGUUCAAUCUCCAGUACCUCCU
rnacentral:tRNA from 1 species